CGCGGAGCACGCGCGCGAGCCCGCCCACUUCCCGGCACGCGCGCCUGCGCCAGAACCCUUCUAGGAUACACAUGCGCCUGCGCGGUGGGCAGCUUUGCGUUCCUUUGACUAAUGGGAAAAGCGCCAAAUACAGAAGCUGGAGUUUGUGAAUUAGAUAAGAGAAGGUGUAUGUGUUUUUAUUUACGCUCUGCGUGCACAAGGGCCAUUUUAUGAAAAAAAAAAAGACUAAAAAAUUUAGUCUUUCUGCUUCACGUUAGAAUUUUCGUUGUUUUAUUCUGCCUUUCCCCUUCCCUAAGGAGAUUUUGAAUAAUCGGAUGCAACCCCAAACUGGGGUUGCAUUUUAUAUAAAGGCGGACGGAUCUAGACUCAAUUAGAGCUAAUCUGAAGAUGGGAGAUAUAUUGAUAGCAAUGGCUGAAGCUUGUCGCGUUAAAUGUCAACACCACCAAUUCAGGUUCCUGAUAUAGCGUUGGCUCAGACUUUUUGAGUUCUCCCUGGGAGAGCUCAGUCAGAAAAGUAAAUAAGGCAUAUAGCUAGAGUUCCUGCUUCUAAAAGGCUGGAUUUCACCGGCCAGUGUUAACACCAUCUUGUUACCAAAACCGAGUCCAUUUACUCACAACAUAAAAAGGUCCUAUGGAGUGGACAGCAAGAAAAAAGGAUUUGUUCAGAACCAGAUAUGGUGGCCUGCACCUGUACAAGUGCCUUGUAUAUGUAUAUGUAGAGCCAAUCCCGCACUCAGGAGGCUGAGGCAGGAAGAUUCUUUGAGUCCAGUUGGAAAUCGGUCUGGGCAACAUAGCGAGACCUGAGUGGGGGAGAAAAGGAGGAAAUAGUUGAGGAAACCUGGUAACUGGUAAUCUGAUCAGCGUCAGUCUUGAAAGGAGGAAGAACAACAAAAUCUCAUGCAAAUCAUUCCUGUGCCUCAAGUUUAAAUGAUUAAUGAGGGAUGUAUGCUCAAGGAUACACAGGCCUUUCGAACAAAGGAUAACCAGGGGAGUGGCUACAAUCGCUUUUAAAACUGGAGAACUUGCAACAAGGCAUUUUGAAGUUAAGAUUUACCAAGACUUGUGACUUUAGAGUGAAUGUUGAGAACCUAGAAGGAAUCCACAAGGCUGUAUAUCUUUUACUGAGAAAUAUAUUUCAAACUUCGAAGUGUCUAUAUUAGAAUAUGUUUAAAUAUGUGUUGGUGUCCUGGGGCUGCUAUAACAAAUUACCACAAAUCAGUAUAUUAAAACAGCAGUAUUUAUUGUCUCACAGUUCUGGAGAUCAGAAGAACAAAAAGUGACAGCUGGGUGGUUCCCUCUUGGAGGUUCAGGUAGAAAAGUUUUCCCAUGCCUCUUCUAGUUUUCUUGAGAGUAUUUGUGGAAGCAUCACUUUAAUCCUGCCUCCAUCUUCUCUUGGUAUUUCCUCUGUGCCUCUGAGUCCCAAUAUCCCUCUUUCUAUAAGGAUACCGGCUAUUGGAUAGGAUCCACCCUAUAAUCUAUUAUGAGCUUAUAACUUGAUUGCGUCUACAAAGACCUUGUUUCCCAAUAAAGGCACACUCACAGGUCCCUGAGGUUAGGUUAAACUUGUGGAGGAACCAAUUUAACUGAUAACAGUAUGUUACAAAAAUAAGUAUAAAAAAAGAUGCUUAGCAAACAAAGUGUAAUUUCAACAUUAGGAAUGGAGGGACUACCCACAGAACAUACUUUAUUCUUAUCUUAACAGCCUCUUUUCUUGUGGGACUUUUUUUUCAGUCUCACUAUUGCCUGUGUUACCCAGUCAGGUUUCAAACUUGAGAUUGUCCAGCUUCCACCUCCAGAAUAGCUGGGACUAUAGCUAGUGUUGGUUUAUCUGGAUUCAGAGCCUAAACCUUACAGCUCACUUCAGACUUCUAUCCUUCUAGCUCCCAAACACAUUUACUUACAUUCUGCAUUUCAGAAAAUUACUUAGUCAUAAUUCCUAUGUUAAUAGUACGUAUCUAAGUGGAUUGUUGUGCGAAUUUAAUAAGAUAAAAUGAUAGGCUCAAUGGCCCCACUUAUAAUCCCAGUUACUUGGGAAGCUUAGGCAGGAGGAUAGCAAGUUUAAGGACAGCCUGGGCAAUUUAGUGAAACCUUGUCUCAAAAAAUCAAAAGGUCCGUGGAUACUCAGUAGUAGAAUGUAGCUGGGUACAAUUCCCAAUAGUGCAAAAGACAAUAAUAAAAUCACAUGUAGUGCCUUGUACAUGUCAAGAAUCUUGUAAAUGCUAGCUUUUACCAUUACUAGUAGUCUCUCCCAAACUAGAAGUGGUAAGAAAAUAUUGGGAAAUGCAUUCCAUAGUACCAGGGGGAAAAAAUUAGAACAAGAGUAUAGGAGUUUCGUUUCUUUUUUUUUUUUUUUAAUGAGUACAGUGAUUUUUUUACAGACCAUUUUCAAGUUAAAAAGAUAAUGUUCAGAUGGUUGAGAGAUCGUUGAGUUAUUUAUUCUUGUCUCACUGUUCUUGUUCCUUUCCAUCCACCCAUACUGUUCCUGCUAUAUCUUGUCUCACUUCAUUCAGGUCUCUACUCACAAACUUUCCUGAUCAAUCUGCACAAGAAAAUCACUUUCUUGUUCCGUGUUACCUUAUCCUGCUUUAUUUUCCUUCUUAGUCAUAUGACAUUUUAUUAUAUAACACAUAACUGUACAACAUUACGUUUAUUAGUUGUAACAUAUAGAUAAAUAAGAAAUACAUGAGCAAUUGCAUUUAAUUCAUACAUUAUAUUCUAUAUAUUAUGUAAAUAGAUGUAUAACUUUGUCUCCUACACUAUACUGAAAAUUCCAUAAAUGCAGGAAUUUUGUCUAUUUUGUUCAGGGCUCUGUCCUUUAGUAUCUUGAACUGUUCCUGGACUACAGUAUGUACUCAAGAAAUGUUGAAUUAGCCAGGCAUGGUGGUCCAUACCUGUUAUCCCAGUGGCUCAGGAAGCUGAGGCAGGAGGAUUAUAAAUUCAAGGCCAGUCUCAGCAAUUUACAUGUGCAUCACCUGCUCAGCCCUAGACCCUCUUUAAGUACUUAAUGGGGCUUUAAGCAACUUAGAGCUUAUCUCAAAAAAUAAAAAGGGUUGAGGAUGUGGCUCAGUAAUAAAGCACCCCUGGGUUCAAUUCUCUGGUAACAACAACAACAAAAGAAAGAGAAAUAGUGAAUUAAUUAAUGGUGCUGAUAGCAUUGUAAAUUAUCACAAUUCUUUUAAUAAGUAAAUAUAUUUGACAGUAUAUUUUAAGAGCCAAAAAUGUUUCCUUAAUAUUUUUCAUGAUAAUAACAAUAUUUAUUGUGAGAUAUUGCACAAGUAAACUGUUUACCUGUAUUAUAUCACUUCUGAGUUCCAGCCUAACAAAAUAGAAGAUGCAUUUAACAAAAUUUUAUUGAGCAUCAAGUAUAUGACACCCUCUCAAUUCUAUUAGGAGAGAUAAAAACAAAGAGGCAGCAAACAAAAAUAUGAAUAAGAUUUUUAUUGUAGCAUUAUUUCAAAUAGCAAAAGUGAAAAGCAACCUGAAUUACAAUAUUAGGGAACUGAAUAAGCAAAUUUUGAUAUGUGGCUGAUAAAAUUGUGAUUUUAAAUACAAAAUGUAUAUGAUUCAAUUUUUUAAUGAGGCUACAAAAUUAUAUGUCCUACUUGUAGCCAUGUUUUUUUUUAAAAAAAAAAUGCAAAAGAACCCAGUCACAGUGGCAUAUGCCUUUAAUCUCAACCACUUGGAGGGCUGAGGCAGGAGGACUGCAAAUUUGAAGACAGCCUGGCAAUUUAAAGACUGGUAAAAAACAAAAACAAACUGAGGCCUGCAAGGGAGUACAGGGGCAGGUCUAGGGCUGAGCAGGUGAUAGGCAUGUAACCCCAUGACUGGUGGCUAAGACUGGAAGAUUGUAAAUUCAUGGCCAGCAUCAGCAAUUUAGUGAGGCCCUAAGCAAUUUAGAAAGAUCCUGUCUCAAAGGUAAAAUGCUCCUGGGUUCAAUCCCCAAUACCAAAAAAAAAAAAAGAAAAGAAAAGAGAAGUGACUAGGGGUGUAUCAGUGAUAGAAUACCCAUCAAUCCAAUCCCCAAUACCACAAAAAAAAAAAAGAAAGAAAGAAAAAGAAAUGUGCUAAAAUAGUAGAAAUCAUUACAUUGGAGAUUGGAGCAGGUUUUUUUCUCUAUUUUCCAAAUUUCUAUAAACAAUAUUAAUCUUAUGGUUUUAAAAUUGCAAUGAUAGCUAAGCACAAUGGCCUAUAAUCCCAGAGACUCAGGAGACUGAGGCAGGAAGAUUUAAGUUAGAAGCCAACCUCAGCAGUUUAGGAAGACCCUCAGCAACUUAAAUUCUGUCUCAAAGAAUAAAAAUGUAAAAAAUGGGGAUGUAGCUUAGUGAAAAAAUGAGUUCAGUCCACUGGGUUCAGUCCUGGAUAUAAAAUGAAAUGUCAUUGGUAAGAGAAAUAUUAUUUGCUUCCAAAACAAAAUAGGUUCAAAAUGUAGAAGUACAUAAUUAUUAUAUUCACCUAAAAUUCAAUGUAGAAAUUUUAGCUAAUCAAAUAUUCCUUUCAUCUGCAAAAUAUAUAUCCAUGUUUAUAUAUGGUUUAAGUCAAGCUAUUCAUUUUUUAUGAAACUUUUAAAAUAUUAAUGCUUGGAGGAUCUCCAUUUUAUCAAUUACAUACCAAAUUAUUUGGUCCCCUAGAGUGGGUUAGAAGUUCUGUUUUGAUAAACAUAGUUUGAGAAACAGCAAACAUUUAAGGGCUAAGUAUCUAAGAUUGCAAAUUUGGGUUCAUUUGUACCACUGAAGGAAUGGAACAAAUAAAUGGCACAAAAAUUAAAUUA